GCUUUUUCUCCGGCCGAAGAGCAGUGAUCCGAAGCAGUUCCGGUACUGUGGAUGUACCGGUAACUAGAGGCUGCCCGCAGGGGUCAAUCAGUGGCCCAUUUAUCUGGGACAUACUGAUGGAUGUACUGCUUCAGCGUCUCCAGCCGUAUUGCCAGCUGAGUGCAUACGCGGAUGACUUGCUGCUUCUCGUCGAGGGAAAUUCCCGAGCUGAGCUAGAGGAAAAAGGUGCAGAGCUGAUGUCCAUCGUAGAAGCGUGGGGAGCGGAAGUUGGCGUUACCGUCUCGACCAGCAAGACGGUAAUAAUGCUGCUGAAAGGUGCCUUGAGACGUGCGCCUACGGUGAGGUUUGCUGGAGCGAACCUUCCGUAUGUGCGUAGCUGUCGGUACCUUGGCAUCACGGUCAGUGAAGGAAUGAAAUUCCUCACGCACAUAGCUUCGCUUCGCCAGCGGAUGACCGGAGUCGUUGGAGCAUUGGCGCGUGUGCUUCGAGCCGACUGGGGCUUCAGUCCUCGAGCCAGGCGGACCAUAUAUGACGGACUCAUGGCACCUUGUGUGCUGUUUGGUGCCCCGGUAUGGUAUGACACCGCCGAACAGGUAGCCGCCCGGAGACGACUAGCCUCCUGCCAGAGGCUAAUCCUGCUUGGAUGCCUUUCGGUAUGCCGAACAGUGUCCACAGUGGCACUGCAGGUACUUGGCGGAGCUCCCCCGCUUGACUUGGCUGCUAAGUUUUUAGCGGUCAAGUACAAGCUGAAGCGUGGAUACCCGCUGGAGGAGAACGACUGGCUAUACGGCGAGGACACUACGUGUCUAAGCUGGAAGCAGAGGAAGACUCGCCUAGAGGAGUGCUUGCUGCAGAAUUGGCAAAACAGAUGGGAUGACGACAGCGAACCAGGACGGGUGACGCACAAGUUCAUCCCAUACGUCACUCUCGCCUAUCGAGAUCCAAGCUUUGGAUUCUCGAUGAGGACGUCUUUCCUGCUGACAGGUCACGGGUCGUUUAACGCAUUUUUGCAAGGGAGAGCCCUCAGCGAUACCACUGCUUGCGCUUGUGGUGAUCCGAUUUGAGGACUGGAUGCACAUAUUGUGCGCUUGUCCUCUAUAUGCAGAUUUGCGAACCUCGAUGGACUUGGAGUGCAGCGCCUUGGCCGAAAACUGGACCUUCAAUAGAAUCCUGGAAGAUCAGCAGAGGAUUCAACGGCUGGCAGCGUUUGCGGACGAGGUGUUCCGUAGGAGGAGGGGUAUUUAGCCCAAAACUUCGCCGUGUGGUUAGCGGGCGAGAAUACUUCCACAGCCCGCUAUUGCUUGUCGUAAGAGGCGACUAAUAUAGCGACUGGUUCCUCUAACCAUGCUUGUCGGAGCAAAAGGAGGAGGCCCACCGAGCCUCUCUUUCGGUACCACGGGUUGUGCUGCUCCAAGACAGCACAUUGAGGUAGGCCCCCUGGUGGGAGUAUCGUGGUGGCUGUGGUUGAUACCCAUAUCGCGGGUAGAGCCUUCGUGUUCGACGUUUGAGUUACGGUGCUAGUUGCGCAAAACUCGGGUGCUGUGACCCAGAGAUCAGUAGAGAUUUUAGGUAGAUCUCGCUCCUCAGCAAGGGGGAGUGCUUGCCCGGCAAGCAAGUACUCGAAUUGCUACCGGGGUGGUCGCUAUGUACAUAGUUAUAGCUUCCAGUCCGGGACGUUUGUCUGGCGUAUCCAGACUCAUGCACCAUGUUGAUACAUGCACCACUUGUGGGUGUUCAGGGUGUCGUGGUUGUAAUCCCUUCAGUGUGGAACACGCCACGUAAAACAAGUUCGGAGAGGUCCGAAAGUCACUGUCCCUAUCUACUAUCUAGCGAAACCACAGCCAAGGGAACGGGCUUGGAAUAAUUAGCGGGGAAAGAAGACCCUUUUGAGCUUGACUCUAAUCUGGCAGUGUAAGGAGACAUAAGAGGUGUAGAAUAAGUGGGAGAUAUUAGACCUCGGUUUGGUAUCGUCAAUGAAAUACCACUACUCUUAUUGUUUCCUUACUUACUUGAUUAAAUGGAACGUGUAUCAUUUCCUAGCCAUUAUACGGAUAUAUUUAUUAUAUCUUAUGGUAUUGGGUUUUGAUGCAAGCUUCUUGAUCAAAGUAUCACGAGUUUGUUAUAUAAUCGCAAACAAAUUCUUUAAUAAAACGAUGCAUUUAUGUAUUUUUGAUUUGAAAAUUUGGUAUAACUCCAAUUACUCAGGUAUGAUCCAAUUCAAGGACAUUGCCAGGUAGGGAGUUUGACUGGGGCGGUACAUCUCUCAAAUAAUAACGGAGGUGUCCCAAGGCCAGCUCAGUGCGGACAGAAACCACACAUAGAGCAAAAGGGCAAAUGCUGACUUGAUCUCGGUGUUCAGUACACACAGGGACAGCAAAAGCUCGGCCUAUCGAUCCUUUUGGUUUAAAGAGUUUUUAACAAGAGGUGUCAGAAAAGUUACCAUAGGGAUAACUGGCUUGUGGCGGCCAAGCGUUCAUAGCGACGUCGCUUUUUGAUCCUUCGAUGUCGGCUCUUCCUAUCAUUGUGAAGCAAAAUUCACCAAGCGUUGGAUUGUUCACCCAUGCAAGGGAACGUGAGCUGGGUUUAGACCGUCGUGAGACAGGUUAGUUUUACCCUACUAAUGACAAAACGUUGUUGCGACAGCAUUCCUGCGUAGUACGAGAGGAACCGCAGGUACGGACCAAUGGCACAAUACUUGUUCGAGCGAACAGUGGUAUGACGCUACGUCCGUUGGAUUAUGCCUGAACGCCUCUAAGGUCGUAUCCGUGCUGGACUGCAAUGAUAAAUAAGGGGCAAUUUGCAUUGUAUGGCUUCUAAACCAUUUAAAGUUUAUAAUUUAUUUUAUAAACGACAAUGGAUGUGAUGCCAAUGUAAUUUGUAACAUAGUAAAUUAGGAGGAUCUUCGAUCACCUGAUGCCGCGCUAGUUACAUAUAAAAGCAUUAUUU
rnacentral:rRNA from 1 species